GUGGCUGAAGAUAUUUUCUGAAACGCAACAUAGACGCUGAAAACAGUUGCAGUUGUCCUCGUUGUGAAAGAUAGAUCUCAAAAUCAUACAGUCACUGUUGGAAAGGGGUCAAAUAUGCAGAAGAUGCUGGAAAACCAAAGAAUGAACAGCAGUCUGCUCUGGACCAACAAAGGACUCACGAACAACUAUCACAAAACAGGAAAAUAGUUGUGGAUCAUGCAGGGAAUGACUCAAGGGUUCUUCAAAUCCUUCAAUGCGGAAAUGAGAAAGUGCAGAGGUAAAAGCAGUAGAGCGACACAUGACAAACUUCAUCAACAUGCCGAGUGCCUGGUAAGAAAGACUGUGAGCGAUGCAUACAAGCAGAACCAGCAUUGAAGGAGCGAACAUGGACAGGUGUUAAAAAUUAUGUCCAGAACAGGAUCACUACUCUGGAAAAAAAAAAAAAGAGUGUGGUUUGUAGGGGUGUGCAGAAGAAAUGCAUAGGGGAAAAUGUGGGAAUAAAGUAGUAUGAAGAGAAAUAAUUUGUUUAAUAACAGGAUGAAUCAAGAUCAAGGAAGGGAGGAGUAAAUGUAAAGGGAAAGACUGUGAGCGAUGCAUACAAGCAGAACCAGCAUUGAAGGAGCGAAAUUGACAGGUGUUAAAAAUUAUGUCCAGAACAGGAUCACUACUCUGGAAAAAAAGAGUGUGGUUUGUAGGGGUGUGCAGAAGAAAUGCAUAGGGGAAAAUGUGGGAAUGAAGGAGUAUGAAGAGAAAUAAUUUGUUUAAUAACAGGAUGAAUCAAGAUCAAGGAAGGGAGGAGUAAAUGUAAAGGGAAAGAAGGAGGAGUGAAUGUA